GCUUACCGUUUCGUGUUCACUGUGUUUGCCUUGGUGAAAAAUCACGAUUAAGGCACGCGGUGAAUGCCAUGUGGAAGCCA
rnacentral:pre_miRNA from 1 species